CGCCAGACUCCUACGGGAGGCAGCAGUGGGGAAUAUUGCACAAUGGGGGAAACCCUGAUGCAGCGACGCCGCGUGAGUGAAGAAGUAUUUCGGUAUGUAAAGCUCUAUCAGCAGGGAAGAAAAUGACGGUACCUGACUAAGAAGCCCCGGCUAACUACGUGCCAGCAGCCGCGGUAAUACGUAGGGGGCAAGCGUUAUCCGGAUUUACUGGGUGUAAAGGGAGCGUAGACGGCAGAGCAAGUCUGAAGUGAAAGCCCGCGGCCCAACUGCGGGACUGCUUUGGAAACUGCCCGGCUAGAGUGCUGGAGAGGUAAGCGGAAUUCCUAGUGUAGCGGUGAAAUGCGUAGAUAUUAGGAGGAACACCAGUGGCGAAGGCGGCCUGCUGGACAGAAACUGACGUUGAGGCUCGAAAGCGUGGGGAGCAAACAGGAUUAGAUACCCGAGUA
rnacentral:rRNA from 1 species